rnacentral:rRNA from 1 species
CAAUAGCGUAUAUUAAAGUUGUUGCAGUUAAAAAGCUCGUAGUUGGAUUUCUGGUUGAAGCGACCGGUCGGGCGUUGAUUCGUCUGCACUGGAGUCGGUUUUGGCCAUCCUCUAGGAAAGUGCGUCUGGUAUUAAGUUAUCGGGCGUAUGAUCCUGGUCUUUUACUGUGAAAAAAUUAGAGUGUUUAAAGCAGGCCUUCGCCUUGAAUACAUUAACAUGGAAUAAUAAGAUAGGACUUUGGUCUAUUUUGUUGGUUUGCAGACCGAAGUAAUGAUUAAUAGGGAUAGUUGGGGGUAUUUAUAUUCCGAUGUCAGAGGUGAAAUUCUUAGAUUUUCGGAAGAUAAACUUAUGCGAAAGCAUUUACCAAGGAUGUUUUCAUUAA